rnacentral:rRNA from 1 species
GUCUACAGCUAUACCACCCUGGAUGCACCCGAUCUCGUCUGAUCUCGGAAGCUAAGCAGCUAAGCAGGGUCAGGCCUGGUUAGUACUUGGAUGGGAGACUGGGAAAUAAAGCAUGGAUGAGAAGGUG